GUUAGACGCUACGGACUAAAAUCCGUUGGCUUUUUAGACCGUGAGGGUUCAAGUCCCUCUACCCCCA
rnacentral:tRNA from 1 species